rnacentral:rRNA from 1 species
GAUGAACGCUGACAGAAUGCUUAACACAUGCAAGUCAACUUGAAUUUGGGUUUUUAACUUAGGUUUGGGUGGCGGACGGGUGAGUAACGCGUAAAGAACUUGCCUCACAGCUAGGGACAACAUUUGGAAACGAAUGCUAAUACCUAAUAUUAUGAUAAUAGGGCAUCCUAUAAUUAAGAAAGCUAUAAGCGCUGUGAGAGAGCUUUGCGUCCCAUUAGCUAGUUGGAGAGGUAACGGCUCACCAAGGCGAUGAUGGGUAGCCGGCCUGAGAGGGUGAUCGGCCACAAGGGGACUGAGACACGGCCCUUACUCCUACGGGAGGCAGCAGUGGGGAAUAUUGGACAAUGGACCGAGAGUCUGAUCCAGCAAUUCUGUGUGCACGAUGAAGUUUUUCGGAAUGUAAAGUGCUUUCAGUUGGGAAGAAACAAAUGACGGUACCAACAGAAGAAGUGACGGCUAAAUACGUG